rnacentral:tRNA from 1 species
GGGGCUGUAGCUCAGUUGGGAGAGCGCUUGAAUGGCAUUCAAGAGGUCAGGAGUUCAAUUCUCCUUAGCUCCACCA